GACGAACGCUGGCGGCGUGCUUAACACAUGCAAGUCGAACGGAAAGGCCCUGCCUUUGUGGGGUGCUCGAGUGGCGAACGGGUGAGUAACACGUGAGUAACCUGCCCUUGACUUUGGGAUAACUUCAGGAAACUUGGGCUCAUACCGGAUAGGAGCUCUUGCUGCAGGGUGGGGGCUGGAAAGUUUCGGCGGUUGGGGGUGGACUCGCGGCUUAUCGGCUUGUUGGUGGGGUAGUGGCUAACCAAGGCUAUGACGGGUAGCCGGCCUGAGAGGGUGAACGGCCACACUGGGACUGAGAUGAGGCACAGACGCCAACGGGAGGCAACGGUGGGGAAUAGUGCACAAGGGGCGGAGGGCUAGUGCAGCAACGCCGCGUGCGGGAUGACGGCCUUGGGGUUGUAAACCGCUUUCGCCUGAGACGAAGCGUGAGUGACGGUAACGGGUAAAGAAGCACCGGCUAACUACGUG
rnacentral:rRNA from 1 species